ACUGCUUGCUUAGAACAUUUGAUGCCAAUUUUAUUUCGACCUCUUCAUUCCAAUGGCAAAACGGGCAGGCACAAAGUGAUCACACAUGAUAAGGUAUUAUUAUGAAGCAAAAGAGUUCUUUAUGCAGCUGCUUUCCAGGUCGACAAAGGUGGGGUGUCUGAAUCUUUCCAUGUAGGGAUAUCGGGUCCAUAUCUCUCGCCCUUGACAGCAUCGGCUGAAGCAAUAGAUUCAAGUUCGGCCAUGUCUUCUUCCGUUAGUUUUACAGACAAUGCUCCCAUGUUUUCAUUAAGAUUCUCAAAUUUCGUUGUACCAGGUAUCGGACAAACAUCAUUUCCUUGAUGAUGUACCCAGGCCAAAGCAAGCUGUGAAGGGGUACAUCCCUUUCUAUUUGCAAUAUCCUUGACCCUCUCGAAUAAGCUCUUAUUAAGCUCCAGAUUCUCGGGUUGGAAUCUUGGUAGACGCUGCAAAAUGUAAAAAGAGUUUGAGCAUAUAUAUCGGUUUCAAUAUUGAUAAUUCAGAUUGUAAAACUACACAUUUUAGAAGCAGGAACAUCACCUAUAUCAUGCACGCUUCAAGGGGAAAAACUUGUAGCAAUCAUUAGAACUAUGUAAUGACAAAGUUUAAGGCCAGGACAUCAUUUGGUACAGCAUUAUCAUUGAAAAGAGGGAUUAAUGCGGACUGAAAUUCAUCAAACAGUUCACUUGGAUGCUCAACUCAACAGGUCGUAUAGAAAUACAAAAUUUUUAAAAAUUUACUUAAUAUAUAUAUAUAUAUAUAUAUAUAUAUUAUUUAUUUAUUUAUUUAUUUAUUAUUAUUAUUAUUGUUGACCUCCAAAAAUGACUCCAACAGGCACCCUAUCUUCGUCCCCUCGAAACCUGCGUAUGUAGCACCCCGUCAAGAGGCAAAGGCGGCCGGAUGAGAAAAAGGUCCGGCGACCGUUUGCACUCCGACGGUCAAGUCAACGGCCGAACGAGAAAUAGAUAUAUAGAGUGCAAUAGUAGAGAGAUGGGGGAUUUGGCUAGAGUAUUUAGAACAUACCUUAACUUGUGAAUUGAAUCCAUAUAUAUAGAGAAAUGAUGUGAAAUGGGCUAAGGCNNNNNNNNNNNNNNNNNNNNNNNAAAUGGGCUAAGGCGGGUUAAUGGGCCUAAGUUCGAGCCCAGUAUGAGGUGAGCAAAGUGAUGGGCACUUCGGCUAGGCUUUUAUGGCCUCGGUGGCGCCUCGGCUAGGCUUCUUAGAGCCUCGGCUUUGAGGCCCAACACUAAUGGGCCUAGCUCGGGUCCAAUAAGGUGGCCCAAUAUGGAGUGAUAAUUCAUAGGCGUAACAGUAGUCCCCCAAGUCCGAGUCGUGUUAUUUAUAUGCGGGUCGGACUUGAAAUCUAAACUCUCAAGUAGGCGAGGUCAUACAGAUUGCCUCAAAAAGAUGGGUAGCUCCAAUAAGCAAGGGCUUACGAAUUGCCUCAAAAAUAUGCAUCGAUCUCGAAUAGGCGAGAACUUAUGAAUUGCCUCGAGAAAUAUGAGUCGCUCCAAUAAAUGAGGACUUAGGAACUGCCUCAGAAAAUGUGUCAGAAUAAGCGAGGACUUACGAAUUGCCUCGAAAGAUAUACUGCGUAUACUUUUUCAAAAUUUCGAUAGCAUCUCUUCUGUAAUAUGGACUAAACCAAUCCUGCGAGGCUUGUGAGUGCUGAAAUGUGAUGAAGCCGAGGUGGUUGAGAAAUCGAACCUACGAGGCUUGUGAAGGCUGAAAUGUGAUGAAGCCGAGGUGGAUGAGAAAUCGAACCUGCGAGGCUUGUGAAGGCUAAAUUGUAAGGCUCAAGCUGCUGAGGCACCUGCUGUCGAGGCACCUCCACCAUUGACUGGGCUUAGUGUAGUUCACUUUUCACUGUAAUCUAUCUUCAUCACAUGCUGUUUUUCUCCGAAGUGUAUUAGCCUCGUUAAGCAAUUGAACUUUACUUAAGCAUAAUAACUAUAACCUGAAGGGAUCCAACGAAUGCUGUUGCAGCCGAACUUAAGCAUAAUAAUUGUAUGAGCCUCGAAAUUCACGUGAAGUGGCUUCUCCCAUUGGCGUUCAGUCUCGCCAAAAGGAGGCAUGUGCUAGCACCUCGGAGUUCAAGCGAGGUCGCCCAAAGAUGGGACGCGAGCCUCUCCUCCGAGGUGACGACGCAUCCCAGAUAUGGUGGAUGGUGCAGCCAUGUUGGGGCUUCUCCCCUUGGCGCUCAGCCUGGCCAAAGGAAGGCAUGUGCUAGCGCUUCGGAGUUCAAGCGAGGUGGCCCAGAGAUGGGACACGAGCCUCUCCUCCGAGGUGACGACGCAUCCCAGACAUGGUGGAUGGUGCAGCCAUGUUGGGGCUUCUCCCCUUGGCGUUCAGCCUGGCCAAAGGAAGGCAUGUGCUAACGCCUCGGAGUUCAAGCGAGAUGGCCCAGAGAUGGGACGCGAGCCUCUCCUCCGAAGUGAUGACGCAUCUCAGACAUGGUGGAUGGUGCAGCCAUGUUAGGGCUUCUCCCCUUGGCGUUCAGCCUGACCAGAGGGAGGCAUGUGCUAGCGCCUCGGAGUUCAAACGAGGUGACCCAGAUGGGACGUAAGCCUCUCCUCCGAGGUGACGACGCAUCCCAGACAUGGUGGAUGGUGCAGCCAUGUUGGGGCUUCUCCCCUUGGCGUUUAGCCUGGCCAGAGGGAGGCAUGUGCUAGCGCCUCGGAGUUCAAACGAGGUGACCCAGAUGGGACGUAAGCCUCUCCUCCGAGGUGACAACGCAUCCCAGACAUGGUGGAUGGUGCAGCCAUGUUGAGGUAAUAUUAGCUUUCCGAAGAUAAGUAGAUGUAACAUGGCUGAGGCAGAAGCAAAAUUCUGAACUGAACAGCUGUACUAAUACGAAUGCAGAGGCUGACCCUGAACUGAACAGCUGUACUGAUAACGAAGCAGAGGCUGACUCUGAACUGAACAUAAUAGAUGUAUACCAGCUGUUGACUUUUUAAGAUCCGCUGAGUGUAUGGUUGCUGCUGUGGUUGUAGGUUCAGCUGUCUCUACAGAACCGCUGACUCAGAGGACUUCACAUGGGAGAUGCUAAAGGUUGUGAAGCUGAAGGUUAGGACGCAGCUUCGACUGAGGUGCUGAAGCUUCAAUGCCUACUUUGAGGAAGGAGCUCAUCUGCCACCGAUGCACUGACCCACAGAGGACGACGCGUUGGGAGAUGGCUAAAGUUUUGUAAAGCUCAGGAAGAAACACAGCCACCGAGGUGAUAACCCACAGGGGACUCCGCGUCAAGUGUGUCUAACCUUUGUAAAGCUGAGUAAGGAGCUCAUCUGCGAUCGAUACAGGAGAUGGCUAAAGGUCGAUAAAGCUUUGACUACACUACAGCCGAAGCAAUGACCCACAGGGGACUCCGCAUCGGGAGGGUUGAAACUUUGUCAAGCUCGGAAUGACGAGGACUUAGAGUCACGCUCGACAAUAGUGAGAAGUGAGGAAGAUAUCUUGCGGAGCCUUAAAUAAAUAUGUGACGAUAUCUCGAACUGUUGGAGUCUUAUAAGCCGACCUUGAAUAGACAAGGACUUAGAGCUAAACUCGACGAUAGUAAGGCGAGGAAAAAACAUCCCGCGAAGCCAGGGAGCAUAGGUCUGGCAAAGAGUCGAACUAUUAGAGUCUUAUAAGCUGGCCUUGGAUAGGCGAGGGCUUAAAGCUAAGCUCGAAGAUAGUGAGGCGCGAGGAAAAGACAUCUCGCGAAGCCAGGGAUGAACACCUGGCGAAUUGUCGAACUAACGAAAUCUUAUAAGCUGGCCUCGGAUACGAGGACUUAAAGCUAAGUUCGAUGAUAAUGAGGCGAGGAGUAAGCAUCCCGUGAGUGAGGUCAGGAAAGGCUCCUUUUGCAAGAGCUUACACGUCUGACAGCUUGACUCGUCCUUUAUUCAAGGAACAAAGACUUCAAACAUAUUGCCUCUUCCUUUAUUCAAGGAGUGAGGACUUAUAAUAUAUCGCCUCUUCCUUUAUUCAAGGAACGAGGACUUCGGUAUGCUUGAAUAAUUCAAGUGCCAUAAUGUGAAUAAGUUUGCCUAAUCAAGAAUUGGCCGAGUAUGAUCUUCUGGGGGUUGCCUCAUAAAUCAGUUCAACAUUCUUUCUUCAGAAAAGUUGAAGAUCUAGCAUGCCUUAAGAGAUUUAGAAGAGAAUUUAAUCAGCCCAAUUUUUAAUAACAAGCGGAAGCUCAAGUGGGGAGAAGAGAAUCACGAAGAUGUGCCGAACUUGAAGAAGAUGACUCCCCUGAAGUGGCCCCAUGCGAAGAAAACCGGGUUUAAGCCCAAUCAAAGAUUAGGGCAGCAAUUGUUCCGUGGAAACAAAUCUAGUAGUCAGACUAAUAAUACCCAAUAUGCCUAAUUUAUAAUCCAUUGGAUUAAAUAAAGACGUAAGCCCAAUGAUGAUUCCAUGUACCAAGAGUAAAAUGAAAUAUAUGUGGCCCAAAUAUUGGCCCACAUUCCUCCAAGAGGCCGAUUCUUUACUCCAAAUCAGAUUGUCCCAGAAUAAUUAAAUUCCAAUUGUCUUUUUGUGAUAAUAAAGUUGACUAAUCAGCAAAGCAAUUGGACAAAAACCAGCAAGUUGCAUGAGUUGACAUUGGCGUGUUCCAUACUUCCAUACGUCUUUCCAAAAAUUAAAAAGCGCAAGGCUCGAUGCUAAUAUAUCUUUUCUCCCCCCAUAUCUGCUUACCACAAGAUCACGGCACUGAAGCAGCAGCUGGUGGUCCGAGUUGCACGCCGGAGAAAGAAACAAAAUCUGAUUGAGCCGUUUUGCUGAAAAUACGGUGUGCCGAAUGUGUUCUUUAUUCAUCAAGAGGAUUACUUGGGACAGUUACUCACCUGGUCGGUUGCUGUUAUCACUGCCUCGACGACCAUAAUCGGAGACUACAGGUGGCCUCGUCGGUAGCACCUUCAAGCUGCAACUUGGCAGAGGAAUUCUAAUCCACCAUAUCGUACAUUCAAAAAUUCUUAAUAGGAUGGUCCUCAGGUUGAAACCAGGAAACUCCUGCUGAUUUUUGGAAAUUCGUUGGUGGAAUAUGUAGAAUGAUUUGUAUAGCAACAAAGUGGGCUUUUUUUGAGGAUGUUUGGUGUGUAUAUAUUUUUGUAAUUGUACGAAUUUUUUGACCCGUGCUUCGCCGGAAAGUUCCUUUUUCAAGGAAUUCUUUCCUGCCUCUUUCCUUGUCGUAUGAAGAAAUUUUCAAAUGCUUCCUGUGGCACCUUUUCUUCUUUUUCAAGACCAUUUUCAUGGCCAAAAUGUUCAUUGAAAAACUUCCUUUUUCAAGGAGAUUUUUGUAUCUCAGUCAGUAGCUAUCUUCUAUCAUUUUUCUUCAUUUCUUGGGUUGCUGUCUUCACUCAUUUGGUACAACACUGACCGGAAAAUAAAAUCAUUUUUUAUGUGGAAUAACAUGAUUAACGUAGCGUUUCUCACAGACGGCGCCAAUCUGUUGACCUCCAAAAAUGGCUCCAACAGGCACCCUAUCUUCGUCCCCUCGAAACCUGCGUAUGUAGCACCCCGUCAAGAGGCAAAGGCGGCCGGACGAGAAAAAGGUCCGGCGACCGUUUGCACUCCGACGGUCAAGUCAACGGCCGAACGAGAAAUAGAUAUAUAGAGUGCAAUAGUAGAGAGAUGGGGGAUUUGGCUAGAGUAUUUAGAACAUACCUUAACUUGUGAAUUGAAUCCAUAUAUAUAGAGAAAUGAUGUGAAAUGGGCUAAGGCGGGUUAAUGGGCCUAAGUUCGAGCCCAGUAUGAGGUGAGCAAAGUGAUAGGCACUUCGGCUAGGCUUUUAUGGCCUCGGUGGCGCCUCGGCUAGGCUUCUUAGAGCCUCGGCUUUGAGGCCCAACACUAAUGGGCCUAGCUCGGGUCCAAUAAGGUGGCCCAAUAUGGAGUGAUAAUUCAUAGGCGUAACAAUUAUUAUUAUUAUUUUAUGGUAAAAGUUGAAAAUAAGUAAUUUAUUUUGACACCAAAAUAAAAGUUAAUUUUAAAAAUAUAUAACUUUUUUAUUUAAAAUUUAGAAAAAAGUAAGUUAUAUACGUAUCCAAACAUAUUUGAAAACAAAAAGUUAAAAGUAGUUGUUUAUCCUUUUGUAGCUUAUGCAAACAUGCUCUUGAAUAAUUAGCUUGCAUUUCAAGUGAGGGCAUAACUUAUAUUCAUAAUUCCAGAGAUUCUUAGAUAUUAUGUGUAUCAUAAAUCCAAAAACUGGUGAUGGUGUGCACAAUGGCUACACAAAAUAAUUCAUAGUUGAAUUGGAAGCUCAGAAGUGAUAGAAGAAUAAAACAAACCAACCUUUCGAAAGUCCACUUCAGAGAAAGUUUCAACGACUUUUGGACCGGAGGAGAAGAAUCCCCGUCCGAGAGGACUGUAUGCUACUAUUCCAAUGCCAAGUUCUCUAAACAAUUGUACCAAGGAUGUUUAGAGUUAGAACUCUAUAUUUCUUACUGGUUCGAAAUAUAAAACCAUUACAAUAAUCAUCAAACCUGCAAGUGGGAAUUAUUUCUGCCUCAGCAUCUCUUGUCCACAAAGACCACUCCAACUGCACUGCUGAAAUUGGAUGAGCAGCAUGCGCCCUUCUGAUUGUAGAAGGUGAGGCCUCUGAUAGACCAAUAUAUUUUACUUUACCUUCUUCCACAAGUUUCUUUAGUUCUCCCAUCUUGCAAAAAGAGAGAUCCAAAGUAAUUAGGAGAGGCUUAAGAAAGAAACAUGCGGAAUCAAGUCUAAGAAUAAAAGGGAGACAUCCACAUAUAUAUAUAUAUAAUCAAAUAUGUGCAACAAUAGGCAGGUUAUGUUGGCUGUAGGAACUCCUCUACCGUAGUGCCAUUCCUGAAGAUUCCAUGUCACAUUUUCUAGAUUUAUCAAAGGUUUGAAUUGUGAGAUUAAACCAGAGCUCGUUUUUUAUACAUCUGACUCAUUAGAGGAAGGUCAGGUUAUAGUUAGCUAUUAAAAUUGAUAAGUACCUCCAAUCUCGUCCAGUGAGAUGUGCACCUCACGUGUCAGUAGAUUCUCAACAGUUUCACCCUACUUCAUUCACUAAGUCAAGUAUUGAAUCUCAGUUUUGUAUAUCAUUGAAAAACAAAUAGACAAAGCCACAGACCCAAACACUACUGUUAAGACUAAAAAGAUUCAGGGUAAUGUUCCUUCUUUUCCCACAUUCCUUCUGCUACCAAAAAGAGCUGACAACAAUCUAAGUAUAAGUCCACAAAAUAUUAUAACUAAACCCCUGCGAAGGACUUCUAAAUAUCUCCAUCAAGGCUGGAUGCAAGAAAAGCUGUAUUCUUUCAUCAGACUUCAAAAGUUUCCGGGUUCGUGCCCCCCCAGCAAUUUUCUAUUACAUUAAUAUUUAUUAAGCUGCUAACUAGAUUCGAAAAUCUUGUAGAUUUCACUUAACAAAACAGCAGAAAUAAUGGAGGAAAGAGCAGUAGUAUAGUUUUGUCACUCUGUCAUUAUUCUGAAAUAGCGUGUAAUGCUUCCUUUCUACAUGGACUAUACUCAGGUUGUAGUGAAUACUCGAAUUUACAUUGAUCACGUGGUAUGGUGCUAACUUGUUCAAAAGUAUGUCUAUUCAACUCCAAUUACAUAACAUGGUUAACAACAUAACACAAUUGAUGAAACCAUUAAACUAUCACUUCGCUUUGUCUCUAAGGUAAAAUUAGAGUUAGAACUUAGAGAUAGCACAACCUACUUGAGUGGGUUGAUCAAAGCUGAUUGAGAACAAUACAGUAGUUAAGAAGACAUACUUCUAAUUCACCAAUUUGUCAAGAUUAACCCAAGCUUGGUUCAAUAAAACAAUAAAUAGUAAACAUAUACAAAAGUACCAAACAACUAAAGUUCAAUUUAUAAUCAGCAAGAUACAUGCUUGUUCAAUGUAGGCUCAAUUUCAAAUUUAUUAAGAUAUCAAACCAAGUUCCAACAACCCACCUUUUGGCUCAGCUCAUUGGCACAAAUGUCGAAAGCCAAGAACUACUUAUGCUCACACUUUGUAAAACAAAAUUAUGAGAGAUACAAAGACAAUCAAGAGAGAACACAGGGUUAACCGUGACUUCAAUAGGCACACGUGUAUCAAUGCGAUGUUGGUAAUAAAGAUCAAUGCAAUCAACAUCAAGCCGCUUCAAGCUGGCCUCGCAGGCAGCCCGUACAUAGGCUGGGUCGCCGCAUAUGUCAUUCUUCCCAUCAGCAAGUCUAAUCCCGAAUUUUGUAGCUAACUCCAUUUUCUCCCUCAUUCCAUCCUUCAAAGCCUAUGCAAAGCCACGAUUUGAUACCAAACAGUAGAUAGACAUUACAAAAACAAUGAUACGUUAAAAAUGGGCAACCCAUCCAAGAAGCGAAAGACACUAAACAGACUAGCCAGGUUAAGGUUCGAGACGGCCUAUGCAAAGCCACAAUUUGAUGCCAAACAGUAUUAAACACCACAAAAGCAUUGAUACGUUAAACAUGGACAACCCCUCCGAGAAGUGACACUAAAUAGACUAGCCCGAGUAAGGUUUGAGACUAGAGUCCAUAAGACUAAUAAUGAAGCUGUAAAAAUGCUUGAAUAAUUUGUCCUUCUCCAGCAAAAAAGAAGUUACUUUGAUAGCAUUUCCCCAAUCAAUGAGACAGUCCCAAGAAUAACGAAAGGAAAUUAAAACGUAUAUGGCCAUUUUAUGAAGGCCUCACAACGAAGAUAACACCUUAAUCUAGUUCUGUUGAGUUCCACGAAUACCAGAAAAAGAUUAAAAAUUGGAAGAAACUACCAAUUUAUAAACUACAUAAAAAUAAAAAAACCAAAUAUUUAUGGGAAAAAAAACCUUAAACCAAAUUAAGGGUUUAAAUUCCAUGACUUAGUUAAACAAUAUACCAAUAAAUAAAUAAAUAAUAGAAAUAGGAAAUAAAAUGUAUAAGGAAUCUGAAUCAAUCACCAUACAAGCUCAGUCUUCCCAGUUCCCAAAUCUUGUACAACAUUUAAGAAUAAAAAACAACACAAUAUAUUCUAUUUCUGCAACUAAUAUUUUACACUUUUUCUUAUAUAUUUAGAAAUAAACAGAAUUGAGAAAUUCCAUGUGUAAUUACUAAUUAAAGUUGCAGAAAUACAAGUGUGUCUGUGUCUGUGUCUGUGUCUGUGUGUUGGGGUUAAGGAAACAGGGUAAGAGUACCUACCUUCCCGAGGAGGAUUUCAUUGGUUUUCGGCCCAUAGAUGUCGGAGGUAUCAAGGAACGUGAUGCCGGAAUUUAGUGCAUAGUGAAUGAGUUUGAUCAUGUCGGGCCCGGGCUUCGGCUGGCCGAAAUGUGGCGUCAUGCCCAUGCAUCCGAGUCCUUGCACAGACACUUCCAAUCCCUGUGAGCCGAGCUUGAUUCUGGGCAUUUUCACAUUGCUUUCGGCAGCCAUUAUUCAGGAAUCCCCGUCUAUGUUAAUGGAUACUGAAUCGAAUGGGAGGAACAGGUAAAAUAAUCAGGGUUGGUCUACAGUGCAGAGAUAAUUAGAGCGUGUUUGAUUGUGAGAAAAUAUUACUUAAAAAAAAAAAUAUUUCUCAUCUUUUGUGAAAAAUAAAAAUCACUUGAAAAUAUUUUCCUUAAAAAUAAGAAAAAUUAGGCGUAUUUUCAAAAGUUGAAAAAUAUUUUUCAUGGAAAAAAAAUAGCAAUCAAACACUCCAAGUGAAAAUUUGGUUAGAAAGCUAAUAUUUUCCAUGAAAAAUAAGUGUGUUUGACAUGGAAAAUAUUACCUAGAAAAGAAAAUAUUUUCCAUCUUUUGUGGAAAAUAAAAACCACCUCUACCCAAGGAAAAUAUUUUCCUUAAAAACAAGGAAAAUAAGACAUAUUUUCAAGAGUUGGAAAAUAUUUUUCAUAGAAAAAAAUAGCAAUCAAACACUCUAAGUGAAAAUUUGGAUGGAAAACUGAUAUUUUCCAUGGAAAAUAAAUAUAAUCAAACACACCCUUAUUGUUUGUAGCUGGGUUAAUCUUGUCUUAUUUUUCUUUCUAGACUCACUAUUAUUCUACUAAAUAUUAAUUUAUUUCAAUUAGGUCACUAAACUUUGAUUUAGUUUCACAUUACACCAUUAUAUCACAUUUCAUCUUCUAUAUUCCCAAACUAACGAAAUUUAAAUAGCUGGCAUCCAUAUUAUAAUCGAUCAUUCAUGUAAUCAUCUUGGGUACCCUAAAAAUGAAAAUCACAAUAUAAAAAUUAUUGUAAUUAUUUAACUCCCUGUUUGAUAGAGAUUAAAAUAUUCAAAUUUUAGUACAAGUCAAAAUUAACAAUUAUUUUUACCAAAAAUUUCAUGAAACACAACUUUUUAAUCACAAUUUAAUCAAUUUAUUAAAAAACUGAUUUUAAUCUCCACCCAACAAGGUAUUAGAUUAAAAUGUUUAAGUAUUUUUCUUAUCCGCUUUAUCACCUUUAGGACGUGGCAUAAUAGUAAAUUGACAUCCCACACAAAAAUCAAAUGCAAUGUGGUCUCGAGUAUUCUAUAAGUUUGGGAGACGAAAUGUGACAAUUACAUAAAAACAAAAACAAAAAUAAAAACAAAUUUAGUCCAAUGACCCAAUUGUAUCUAAAUUGAAGUAUAGGGAACCAAUUAAGCGGAAUUUGUCUAAAAGUUCAGUGACCAUAAUUGAAAUUCACCCUUCCCCCGUCUCCCCCACCCCCCACUCCCCCAACUUUCAUUUUGCUUACGUAAGAGAUGACACAAGAAGUUGAAGAAGAAAAAUAACAUUAGAAAUUUAUGUGAUGGUAGGUGAAGAUGAAUUAUCAUUAUGAAGCUAGUCUUGGUGCAGCUGCUUUCCAAGUUGACAAGGGAGGAGCAUUGAAGUUUCCCAAUUCCAAUGUUAUCAUAUUUGACUUUAGCAUGGACUUUAUCCUAAAAUGGUUAGAAUUCCUAUUCCAAUUGAGAGAGACUAGAGAGGCUUACACAGGAUCCCUUCAAAUCAUACACAAUAGAGAGUGAGGGAGUAUUUUUUAGCAAUAUUUUACGCACAUAAGACCCUCAUCAUGUGAGUAUUCUGGAAGGGUUAUGUGGCCCCUACAUAUGGCAAAAAUCAUUCCAAUUUUAGCGUUAUCGACAAAUUUUGGUAAAUCUACAUUAUUUAUUGGGAAAAUUGCAGCAAAGGCCCCAAACCUUGAAAAUAUUAACAGACUUUCCCCAAACUUUUAAUUUGUUGCAAUUGUCAACCCAAAUCUUACGAAACGUUGCAGUUGAGGCCCUUUUGGACGGUUUUCAUCCAAAUGUCUGUUAGUUGACUAAAAAUUUUGACUUUGACCAAUAUUUAAUAUUUUUGGAAGGGUAAAAUAGUAACUCUUAAUUUAUUACAUUAAAAUAAGUUAGAAAUUAAAUUAUAAAAAAUAAGAAAUAAGAAAUUAAAAAAAAAAGAAAAAAAAAAGGCCAGUCAUCUUCUUCCUCUAACCCCCACGUCCAUCCCCAAAAUCAAUUACGCCACCGGACCGCCACCUCCAUCUCCACCCCCACCCCCAGCUAACACACAAAAAUAUGAAGACAAUAAUUCGCCCAUUGCAUCCAACAUAUACAGCAUAUCCCCACCAAUUUGCUGUUGCAUUUUGACAAAUGAAACCUUAGGAAAAUCUGCAUUCUUCACAUCACAAAUGGGAAUGGACCCGAAUUCAUUCACAGCAUAAAAUGAUUCAUAAAAAAUAAAUUACAUCCUCACAAUAUAAUCGUGCUUCGUCAAUGAAUUUCCAGGAAUUUCCCCCUUUUCAUAAUAUGUCAGAUCUCCGUGUCAAUUAAGAAUCGUGAAGGCAAUUAAAUUCGAGUCAUUGUAAGGGUUGUGAGAGAGAAUGACCUUUUGAAUAAAAUAGUCGUGCAUUUUUCUUAGAGUAAUAGACCUCAGCACCUGGAGGCUGGAGUGUGUAUUCACGACCUAUGCUGUAGAAAUCGAAAUUUGAGACAUUUGGGACAGUUGAAGACGCUGGGAAAUUAACUUUGGCACAUGUGAUAGGGUUAAUAAGGAAAAUAGAGCUAACUAGGGAGGAACCAAUGCGGCGAUGGCUGGGGAAUGCUUCUGGUAGCGUGAGGUUGGGAAGGGAGUGGAGUGAGGGGUGGGAGGAAGGAAGGAAGAAGACGAUUGGCCUCUUUUUUUCUUUUUUUUCUUAUUUUUUAUAAUUAAUUUCUAACUUAUUUUAAUGUAAUAAACUAAGAGUUACUAUUUUAUCCUUCCAAAAAUAUUAAAUAUUGGUCAAAGUUAAAAUUUUUAGUCAACUAACGAACAUUUGGAUGAAAAUCGUCCAAAAGGGCUUCCGCUGCUACGUUUCGUAAGGUUUAGGGUGACGAUUGCAACAAAUUAAAUAUUUGGGGAAAGUCUGCUAAUGUUUUAAAGAUUUGGAGCCCCUACUGCAAUUUUCCCUUAUUUAUUCCUUAUUACAAUACUGCUUUCAUUUUGUCGUGGCAUUACCUUUCAUGGGAAGUGUUCUCUUGCAUGACCCUAUUGAUCUUCAACUAUUGCUUGACCGCCCCGCCCCGCCCCGACCCGACCCGAUGGGGACCUCCUCGAAUGGGGGAAAAAUCGGGUCCGACUGGCGGGGUGGGGCGCGGCGCGGUGCCGCGUUGUAGGGCGGGGAGGGACUGACCUUUGAAGAGGAAAAAAAUUAAAAAUAAAUAGACAAUUCACUCGUUAAAAACUCAUUUUGAAUUUGUAUUUUAUUCUCCAAUAAUAGCAUAAUUCGAAAUAAAAAACAAAAAAAAAAGGGGUAGCAAACAAGGCAAAAAGCUGCCCCACCCCACUGCCAUCCCUACAAUUUGUCAAGAUUAACUCCAGCUCGGUUCAAUAAAAUAAUAAAGAGUAAAUAUAUAAAAAAGCACCCAAAAACUAGAUUUCAGCUCAUAGUAAACUGGACAAAUGAUCAUUCAUCAUAGGCUUACUUUGAAAUCACACAAAACUUAACCUCAAUUUUAAAUUUACGAAUAAAUAAAUCCAAACUUCAAAAACGAACCUUUUGGCUCAGUUCAAUGCUUGUUGAGAGCUCAUAACAUAUCAAUAACAAGAGCUAGUUGCAAUCAAAGUUGGUAAAUUUAAAUCACGAGAUACUUAGAGGGAAAUAAAGGGUUAAUCGUGACUUCAAUAGCCAAACGUGAAUCAAUACGAUGUUGGUAAUAUCAAUCAAUAUAAUCAAUUGUUAGAUAUAUAUCAUAUAUUUUAUCUAAAAGAAAGUGAUUAUACUGAGAUAAAUGGUCGAGUGGUCAAAUAUAUAGAAUUUAUGUUGGAGGUCAAUGAUUCAAAUCACAAUCAUUGCGAAUAUUUAAAAUUCUAUGAUUUAGCUUUAGGGCCUUGAACUUUUUUGAUUAAAAUAAUUUUUUUUUUCUUUUAUUAAUGUUGGUUCUUCUCAAUUAUGUUCAAAUUUAUAAUGUCAAACUAGCUAGUAAAAUAUAGUAGUUGGAUGGGAUAAGUUAGUAGUAAUAUAAUAAAAAUAACAGUUUUAUUUUAUUGAAUUAUGAAUUAUUAUUGGGAAGUUACAAUUCCUAGUUGAAAUCAACCACAUCUUAUGUACUUUUAGGCAAAAUCAAUUCUAGAAAUUUUAAUUUUAUUUUGUUCUUGAGCAAAAUUUGAGAGUUUUGGAAAAUGCUUGUGAUUGUUGUAGUGAUUCAAUGGUUGUCUCCUAGGAGUAACUGUUCAAAGAGAUAACAAAUGUUAUCGACAAACAACUUUACUUUAAUAUAUCGUACUGUCACGAAUAAUUGAUCGUUCGAUAAAUCGUCUAAUUUUCUACAUUUAAUUGUUUGAAAAAGGUAAUGAAAUUAAUUUCUCCCUCAUCCCCCCCUUCAAAGCCUUUGCAACUCGAUGGCAAACUGGUACAUAAAAAUUAAAUAUUCAUGUAAUAGCCAAAAAUCUAAGGUGCCAUCUAAGCUCCAUCCCGCGAUGUCAAAUACAUAAACUUUUUUGUAAUAUUAGCAGCCGGAAAUUAACUAUAGAAUUAUUGCAGCGUUAAAGAUAAUGAUAAGUGUGUUUUUAUCAUAGUUAUCAGACUCGGACCGGACCUCAACCCGAAUAAUGCAAUGGGUCAACGGGUCAGUGGUUUAACCGUUGACCCGGUGGUUCAACUGGCGAGUCAAUUCCUAUAAAAAAUAUUAUUAAUUAUUUUCAUUGAAUAAUAAUUUUUUUCCCAUUUUCUACAAAUAACUAUAUUAACUUCAUAUUAUUCUGUCAACUAUAUAUCAAUUUGUAUUCCAAUUUCACAAAUUCUAGAUCAUAUAGAGAGAAAUAUGGAUUUGAAACAAUAAAAACAACAAUCAAUGAUUAAAAAAAACUACUUUAUAUCCAUGUUACAACAUCACAAGCAUUAAUAAAAGUUUUGUCACUCUCCAGGUUACAUGCUACCAGUUAAUCAACCCUUGCAUUAAAACAUCAAAAGAAAAGACUUAUCCAUGAUAACUAGAAAUUCUAGACGAUGUCAAUGAUUUCUCUAAUAUUGCCAAUUAUUGGUAAAGGAAGAAGAAAUGAUACCGAUUCAAUAAAUAAAUCAACAGAGAAACGCAAACUAGAUUGGUAUAAAUCACAGUAGAUAAGAGCUCAGAGAUCCACAAAGCAACUAUUCAAAAGCAUAGCACAUGGACCAACUUAAGCAAAAUAUUAAUCAAAUGAAGUUAGUUCAUCUAAAAAAUAAAUUAAAACCACCAUCAUAAUCCAUUUUUUAGCAACCAGUAACGCAAAAAUACUCGGACGUUAACUGGGUAAUAAUCCAAAGAUGAAGAAAAACUAAACACUAAAUAGAGUCUGCUCUUUAUUCGAGUAAAGCAUACAUUAGGUAUUUUUUAACCAUGACAUCAAGAAGCAAUUGUGGAUAUACACAAGCCUGCCAUCUGAAUCAAAUGUCUAUCCAAGUGAGGAUAUACACCAGCUAGAAAUGAAUAAAUACAUCACCUGAAUCAAAUGCUACAGCAAUGGCUAGAUGAAGCCAACAACUUUUUUCACAUAAUAUUAUAAAUGCCCCUCUAAAUCGAUAAAUUUAAUUAAAAACAGUAAAAAACUACUGGGGUGGCUCCGAUACAUUGUUGAAUACCAAAUUCCACAUUUUUUUUGUUCUAUAAUUCAUAUGCCAUCAUACCCAGGACAAAAUUCCACAUUUUUUUUGUUCUAUAAUUCAUAUGCCAUCAUACCCAGGACAAAAUUCCACAUUUUUUUUGUUUUAUAAUUCAUAUUACUUAAAAAAGGAUUCAUCUGACCGAGACUAACCUGCUCUUCCAUCUUUUAAAACUUGAAAUUGGAGAUUUGGAUUCUUGGGAGUUGAUGAAUUGCAAGAGAUUGAGACCGCGGCUGAGGUUUUUAAUUUUGCAAGAAUCCCUAAUGUCUUAGAAGUUAGAAAUUGUGAGGAGACGACGUGGGGAAGGAAACUGGAAGGAAUCUGUGAGGAAAGGAAAGUGAAACACAGUUACUUAAGAACCGGUCGGGUCAAUCCAAAGUCGGUACCCCGAAUCUAUGUAAAAUCGCCGGUUCUAGCGGGUUGUUGGCAGGCUGAUUUUUCAUCCAUAAAUUCCUCACAAUCGGACCGAUCUGGGUCCGGUUCGACGGGUUCCGAACUGAACCGGCCGAUCUGGUUCGGGUCUGAUAACUAUGGUUUUUAUACACUUAUUGGGCACCUUUAAUAAGCUAAUUAAUGAUGUAAUUGAGUGAAUUCCUAUUCAUAAUUGUGUAAUUAUGGUGUUUGUAGAUUAAAAGUCCAAAUUGAGAGAGAAGAAGGCUAAAGGAAGGGGAAAAAAAAAGGACCAAAAAUAUGACUUUGGGGACUAAGAUGUACAGGUCAAAAAGUUCAAGGACUCAAGUUGCAAAUUAUGAAGGAUUUGAUUGAAAAUAAGUUCAAAAUUUAAGGACUAAAUUAGAUGAAACCAAAGUUGGAGGACCAAACGUGCAAUUCUUUGAUGACCAACUGAAGAGAAGGGAAAAGAAGGCAAGGCGCACGCCUAAGCCUGUAGGUAAGGCACGUGCCUCAACUCCACUUUUGGGCAACUGAGAGCAACCAAAAGGCUAAGGCCCGCGCCUUAGGUUGAAAUUCAAGACCUGUGCGUGCAUUUUAAAUCUUUUUAGGGGCUCUUCUUGCAAUUUGUUUGGGAUGAUUUUUACUCCUUUUAAACACUCUUUUCACCCAUUCUCAACAUUCUUCUUCAUCCAUUUUAAAACCCUAGCUUAGAAAGAAAAGGGGGCGAACAAAAAGGAGAGGAAAAAUCACACAAAGAAGAUAAAAUCUUGGAAAAAUUUAGACCAAAACCAAGCAAGAUUCAAGGAUCCGACCAAGGGACAUGUUUAUUUCUUUGUCAUGUAUUUCACAUUAUAUUUUUCUCAAUUUUUGUGAUGUAUUUCUUUAAUCCUUUCAUUUUGUGCCCUAUAAAUACAAUGAGCAAAACAUUUUGGUGUCGGGAUGAAUGAGGAAGCUUGUCUUAACUAUAUAAAUUUCUUUAUUCACUAUUUUAAUGCUUAUGUUCUUGUAUUUUUACCAUUACAUUGAGUGUAUUAUCAUUAUUGUGGUCACUAUGUGAUAAUGUCUAGUGAUUUGUGUGAUUAUUGAGAAAGUGUUGCACAUUUUAGAUUAAGGUGGUAGAAAUCCUAGGUUCUUGUGGAAAUAGAGAUAAACUCCUACUCUUAGGUAACUUUUGAGUUAUUUUCAUUGAUAUUUAAUGCUUUUGAUUGUGCUUAAUCAACAUAGAAAUAUAACAGGUUAAACCAAUUGAUUAUGGUUAGUUUCACUUGAGAAAUGUAAUUAACUAAAAUAGGAAAAUCGGGUUUGACAAGAAAACUGAGUAAUGUUCUAUUGACUUGUUAUGAAGAAUUAAUUUAGUGACUGCAAAAUGAAAUCAUGAAUCCUAACCUGACUAAAAUCCAACUUUGACCAUAACUGUAAUUGGGUAUUUUAUUUGAAUGCUUAGAAGUAUAUUCUUUUAAUCUUUAAAUUCAAAGAUAUUAAUUAUUUAAAUUCAAAGAUAUUAAUUAUUUAAAUUCAAAGAUAUUAAUUAUGUGUGUCAUGACUAUUAUUUGGAUCAACUCUCGUGUAAUUGGACUAAACACUCUUCAAGGGAUCACUUAGACUCAAAAAGUUCACACUAUUACGUGUGCGCGACCCCUGCACUUGCGAUGUAGCAUUUUAGUAAACAGGUAACAUCAAUUAAAUAUAAUAGUCACGACAUAAUGACUGACCUUAUACAAUAAAAAACAAUUUCAAGAAUCAUUGAUAGGAAUAAGAACCCAAACCUUCAAUGAGCAAUUCUAUGUUCAAAUGCUGGAUUCUAAGACAAGAACAUUCUUGCGGGGCGUCCUACUUUGCAUAAAUAUGAAAAUAAUAAUCAAUAUGUGAUGAUGUAAACUGCUCCCUCUUAACAUUGGUAUUUUAAGAUAGAAUUCAAGAUUCGAUAUAUAGACUUCAAAGAAACACACAAAAUAUAGACUAAUUUUUAUAGAUCCUGGAGUGUUACUAAAAAAUUGAUUUUCUUCACGUAAAUGAGGCAACAUAAAAAUAAAAAAAUUCCUUCAUUUUCAAUGAUAAAUAAUAACUAUAUGCUGACCAAAACAUGAAGUUUAUAUCUUUUCGAAACGACUUUGAUCGACCAGAACUAACUAUAAAUAAUAAACUAGAUAAUAGAAAACUUAACGAUUCCAUUGUCUUCAAAUCAUGUUGACAAUCCUCAUCACCAUUCUAUAACAAAUUUGAUAACUAAUUGUAAAUUUUGUAAAAGUGAGUAUUUAACACUAGCUAGUAAAAAUACAUAUGAUUUCUAUAACAUAAUUAAAUAAAUCAAUAAAAUAGAUAUUGAUUGGUACAUAUAUAUUAAUAAAAUAAAAUAAAUUUAACUUUUAUCCGAAUCACUUUGCACAUGUUUGUUUAUCAUUCUCCAUAAACUCUUUUUUUUUUCUUUCUCUUUUUUUUUUUUUUUUUUUUAAACUUUUUUUCAAUUUUUUAACUAAACUUUUUUUUAAACUCAUUUUCAACUUUUUAACUAGACAUGCUCUAAGAAUCACUAUUCCAAAACUCCAAUCAAUCGAAUAUUGAUUAAUGCGUAAUUGAUCGAACACUACUUGCAAAUGGCUUUUUUGCUCAGAAACAUUUAAAAAAAAAAAAACUCUCUUUAUUGGACAUCAAAUAGGGGCUUAAUUAGUACAUAAGCAUAUAUACAAACAUGUAAUCAUGGCCGCCUAUUUCUUGAGUCCAACUUAUUUGGAUUAACUUUUCUCGAGCCAUAGUGCAUCAUUUAAUACGAGAUUAGUUUUUAACCCUACAAUAUUUAAUUAUUUGACCCGAAUAAAAAUAUUGUAUUAAACACUUAUUUUCUCUUUAGUCGAUCAAUGAUUUAAAAUUAUCAAAAAGCUCCUAGGUCAAAAUUCUUAUCGCUAGAUAUUCUUAUUCUAUAAAAUUUCCAGAGGAUAGAUUUGCUAUGUUAUUCUAUCUUAUGGGUCACAUUUCACAUCAAGACCAGAAAUAGAAAAAUUAGUUAGAAGGUGUAAAUAUGAAAAAUUGAUUGAUUAAAUUGCAAUGAGACAAAUUAAGACGAUCAAUUUAAGACCAAAAAAAGAGUGAAAAAUGGGAAUAUUCUUUAAAAUAUGGUAACCUAACAAUCUUAAUUUUCCAUUGUUUUGAUGGUAACCUCACUUUGAGCUUUUAGACCGCAUUCUAAUUGUAGAUUUCUUGUUAAUCGACAAAAGAGAAAUGUAGACUUGGAAUCUUUAAUACCUUGAACCAUACAAAAGAGAAAUGUAGAGUUGCAAUAUUUAAGUUUAAUACCUUGAACCAUGCGAUUAUAUCUCCUACCUAAUGAUUAUGAACCAAUAACCGAUUGAAGAGAAAAUUAUUGAUACGAAUCCCUUUGGCCUAUCCACAAAUAUGGUAAGGCAUUCCCAAGUCCUAUUUGAAUUAAUCUAUGGAGAUUACGACAAAUUCCAUUCAUGAUUUGAAUUUUUAUAACAUCAAGAUUAGAUGUACCAAACAAAAAGGAAUAUCAUUAAGUAAAUUCAUAUGAAAUUUAUCCCAAAGAUUAGUAACGAAGUCAUUUACAAUGAAACUAACUACUAUUAACUAACCAAUCGUCUACUUCUCAAGACUCGAGUAUUCAUGGUUGUCUUGGAUCCUACAAAAUACCUAUGUGAUGGAACUUAUAAACUUUCGUAGUUUGGCUGAUAAAACUCAUUAGAGACAAAAGUGAAAAAACAUGGACCAACGAUAAAUCGGUCCGGUUAGUGCUUGAAAUCAAACUAGUUACAGUGACUACCAAAAGCUCUAGCAUGCCCAAGUAUUUUCCGAGCCAAGGCAAAGAUCAAGAGCUGGCCAAACGUCAACCCGCACACAUGGUCUUACAACUAUGCCGAAAAAAUGGGAGAAACCCCAACCUCAUAAACCAGUUCACCUUUGACCCUUUUCGCAAUCUGUCUGGUUGAAUUUAUAAAAUUUUAGUAAAUUUUUGCUGGCUGGUUUUAAAAGCACAAUUGGUAUGUUUAGAAAGGUUUGUUCAUGAGCUAAAAAAACUUUUAGUUUCACUUUAGAAGUUGUAAGUCUUUAAAGCUAAACUCGAAAUUAUAGAUAUAAAAUAACUAUCAAAUUAAAUCCCAACAGUUUUCAAGGAGAUAAAAUUUCUAGCAAUGAAAACUGCUUGCUUAGAACAUUUGAUGCCAAUUUUAUUUCGACCUCUUCACUCCAAUGGCAAAACGGGCAGGCACAAAGUGAUCACACAUGAUAAGGUAUUAUUAUGAGAUAGAUAAAGCGUUCUUUAUGCGGCUGCUUUCCAGGUUGACAAAGGUGGCGUGUCUGAAUCUUUCCAUGUAGGGAUAUUGGGUCCAUAUCUCUCGCCCUUGACAGCAUCGGCCGAAGUAAUAGAUUCAAGUUCGGCCAUGUCUUCUUCCGUCAGUUUUACAGACAAUGCUCCCAUGUUUUCAUUAAGG
rnacentral:lncRNA from 1 species